AACGAACGCUGGCGGCGUGCCUAACACAUGCAAGUCGAACGAAAAAGGGGCUUCGGCUCCGGGUGAAGUGGCGCACGGGUGAGUAACACGUGGGUAACCUGCCUCUAAGAUUGGUAUAACUCGUCGAAAGAUGAGCUAAUACCGAAUAAGACCACAGUUCCCGCCGUAACAGGGGUCAGAGAUAUCCUCUGCUUGCGAGCUAUCACUUGGAGAUUGAGCUGCGCACCAUUGGCUAGGUUGUAGGGGAACGGCCUAGCAAGGCAAAGAGGGUUAGCUGGUCGGAGAGGAUGGUCAGCCCCACUGGAACUGAGACACGGUCCAGACUCCUACGGGAGGCAGCAGUGGGGAAUAGUGCGCAAUGGGCGAAAGAUUGACGAAGCAACGCCGCGUGAGGGAUGAAGGCCUUCGGGUCGUAAAGCUCUGUCGGGAGGAACGAAUGCUCCUGAGGUUAACAGCCUCGGGAGGUGACGGUACCUUGAAAGGAAGCACCGGCUAACUCUGUG
rnacentral:rRNA from 1 species